rnacentral:rRNA from 1 species
GUCUAUGGUCAUACUACCCUGAAUAUGCCUGAUCUAGUCUGAUCUCGGAAGCUAAGCAGGGUCAGUCCUGGUUAGUACUUAGAUAGGAGAGUCCCCAUGUAUCCUUCUCC